GGGGAAUAUUGGACAAUGGGCGCAAGCCUGAUCCAGCCAUGCCGCGUGAGUGAUGAAGGCCUUAGGGUUGUAAAGCUCUUUCGCCAGGGACGAUAAUGACGGUACCUGGAUAAGAAGCCCCGGCAAACUUCGUGCCAGCAGCCGCGGUAAUACGAAGGGGGCUAGCGUUGUUCGGAAUCACUGGGCGUAAAGCGCAUGCAGGCGGAUCGUUAAGUCGGGGGUGAAAUCCCGAGGCUCAACCUCGGAACUGCCUCCGAUACUGGCGAUCUCGAGUCCGGAAGAGGUGAGUGGAAUUGCGAGUGUAGAGGUGAAAUUCGUAGAUAUUCGCAAGAACACCAGUGGCGAAGGCGGCUCACUGGUCCGGUACUGACGCUGAGAUGCGAAAGCGUGGGGAGCAAAC
rnacentral:rRNA from 1 species